ensembl:snoRNA
AUCCUUUUGUAGUUUGUAAGUGUGAUGAUUGGGGUUUCAAGCUCAUGUGUGAGACGUGCCUCCCUCAAACCUUGUUAUGAUAUCAGCACAUUACUCAUCUGAUG